GAGGGUACAGCUCAGUGGCAGAGCACAUGCUUAGCAUACAUGGGGUCCUGGGCUCAAUCCCCAGUACCUCCA
rnacentral:tRNA from 1 species